rnacentral:rRNA from 11 species
CAACUUUCAACAACGGAUCUCUUGGCUCUCGCAUCGAUGAAGAACGCAGCGAAAUGCGAUAAGUAAUGUGAAUUGCAGAAUUCAGUGAAUCAUCGAAUCUUUGAACGCACCUUGCGCCCCUUGGUAUUCCGAGGGGCAUGCCUGUUUGAGUGUCAUG